rnacentral:rRNA from 1 species
UACGGAGGGUGCAAACGUUAUCCGGAUUCACUGGGCGUAAAGCGCAUGUAGGCGGUUCGAUAAGUCCGCUGUUAAAGCCCCCGGCUCAACUGGGGGAGGUCAGUGGAGACUAUAGGACUUGAGGGCAACAGAGGCACGUGGAACUCCCGGUGUAGCGGUGGAAUGCGUAGAGAUCGGGAAGAACACCAGUGGCGAAGGCGACGUGCUGGGUUGCGACUGACGCUGAGAUGCGAAAGUGUGGGGAGCAAACGGG